CUAAGAAUCUUCCGCAAUGGGCGCAAGCCUGACGGAGCGACGCCGCGUGAGCGAAGAAGGCGGGAACGUUGUAAAGCUCUUUUCUGUGUGAGGAAUAAGCUUGGGAGGGAAUGCCCGAGUGAUGACGGUAGCACAGGAAGAAGCCCCGGCCAAUUACGUGCCAGCAGCCGCGGUAAUACGUAAGGGGCGAGCGUUGUUCGGAAUCAUUGGGCGUAAAGGGCACGCAGGCGGUUUGGUAAGCUUGGUGUGAAAGCCCGCAGCUUAACUGCGGAGACGCGCUGAGAACUGCCGGACUGGAGUUCUGGAGGGGAAGUUGGAAUUCCUGGUGUAGGGGUGAAAUCUGUAGAUAUCAGGAAGAACACCGGUGGCGAAGGCGAACUUCUGGCCAUGAACUGACGCUGAGGUGCGAAAGCGUGGGGAGCGAACAGGAUUAGAUACCCCCGUAGUCC
rnacentral:rRNA from 1 species